rnacentral:rRNA from 1 species
GACGAACGCUGGCGGCGUGCUUAACACAUGCAAGUCGAACGGUAAGGCCCUUCGGGGUACACGAGUGGCGAACGGGUGAGUAACACGUGGGUGAUCUGCCCUGCACUUCGGGAUAAGCCCGGGAAACUGGGUCUAAUACCGGAUAGGACCACUGCCUGCAUGGGUGGUGGUGGAAAGCUUUUGCGGUGUGGGAUGGGCCCGCGGCCGAUCAGCUUGUUGGUGGGGUGAUGGCCUACCAAGGCGAAGGCGGGUGGGCGGCCUGCGAGGGUGGCCGGCCACACGGGGACGGAGAGACGGCCCAGACUCCGACGGGGGGCAGCGGUGGGGAAUAUUGCACAAUGGGCGCAAGCCUGAUGCAGCGACGCCGCGUGAGGGAUGACGGCCUUCGGGUUGUAAACCUCUUUCAGCACCGACGAAGCGCAAGUGACGGUAGGUGCAGAAGAAGGACCGGCCAACUACGUGCCAGCCGCCGCCGUAA